UCCACUGCCCUUCUAAAAAUUGUGGAAAAAAUCCACACAUGCUUUAUAUGUAUCUGCGUACACAUUAUGGUCCUAUGGAAAUAGUUUUGAAUUUCAGGACCAUCUCUGCAUAUAAAAGAUGAGUCUUUUGGGGUCCCAAAUUGCCUCAUAGUAGGUGUUAUAUUUUUUAGUUUUGAAUUCUAGUUUUGAAAUCUAUUUUGAUGCUUUAAUUUUAGUUUUUAAUUUUGAUGCAUCCAAAAUUUUGUUGAGCAGGUACAACUAUUUGAAUGACUUACCUUCCCUGGAUCCAGAGUUAUAUCGCCACCUUAUUUUCUUAAAGCAUUAUGAAGGUGAUACUUCAAAGUUGGAAUUGUACUUUGUUAUUGUGAACAAUGAAUAUGGAGAGCAAACAGAAGCAGAGUUGCUUCCUGGAGGGAAAAGCAUACGUGUUACUAAUGAGAAUGUCAUUACAUUUAUUCAUCUUAUAGCCAACCAUCGUUUGAAUUCUCAGAUACGCCAACAAAGUUCCCAUUUUAUGAGGGGAUUUCAACAGAUUAUAGAGAAAGAUUGGAUUGGCAUGUUUAAUGAACAUGAACUUCAGGUAUUGCGAUUCUUGUUGAAUGAUAUUUAAGAACCACGUGGU